GUGGCUACCACUGUCAGGUGACUACCUGGGUAGCUUUUAAAAAUGGUGUCAUUGUUCGCUUGGUAAAUACAGCGUGCUUCGUCACCGACAUACCCAACUGGAGGCGGAGCUUCCUCAGUGACAGAUUGAUGUCAUCAAAAGAUCUCUGGGGAGGACACACUGAAUGGACAACCUCGAUGGGCGGGGCUUCUUUCUUACAAGAGCUGGGUGAACAGGUGGAGGAGGCGGAGUCAAGUUUGGUGAUGAAGGAGGCGGUGGAGGAAGUCUCAGCAGUGGAGAAGGCGUCGGAAGAAGUGACAUCACUUGUGUCAGCUGAGGGGAGAGGGAGCAAGGGCACGAGAAAGGAAAGGACAGAGCAAACACUGUUGAUUGAUUUGUUCAUGUAUUCAUGUCAAUAAUGGCCAUGUGUUUAUAUUAAUUUUGUUCAUGUAUUCAUGUAUCCAUGUCAGAUAUUGUUCAUGUGUUUGUAUCAAUUAAGUUCAUGUAUCAAUGUCAAUCAUGUUCAUGUCAUUAAUGGCCAUGUGUUAAUAUUAAUUUUGUUCAUGUCAAUUAUGUUCAUGUAUUCAUGUCAAUAAUGGCCAUGUGUUAAUAUUAAUUUUGUUCAUGUCAAUUAUGUUCAUGUAUUCAUGUCAAUCAUGUUCAUGUCAUUAAUGGCCAUGUGUUAAUAUUAAUUUUGUUCAUGUCAAUUAUGUUCAUGUAUUCAUGUCAAUAAUGGCCAUGUGUUUAUAUUAAUUAUGUUCAUGUAUUCAUGUCAAAAUUGUUCAUGUGUUUGUAUCAAUCAUGUUCAUGUAUUCAUGUCAGUGAUGUUCAUGUGAAUAAUGGCCAUGUGUUAGUAUUAAUUUUGUUCAUGUCAAUUAUGUUCAUGUAUUCAUGUCAAUAUUGGCCUUGUGUUUAUAUUAAUUAUGUUCAUGUCAAUUAUGUUCAUGUAUUCAUGUCAAAAUGUUGUAGUCGUAAUGAUUUGUGCAGUCCUUUGAGACAUUUGUGAUUUGGGGCUAUAUAAAUAAACAUUGAUUGAUUGAU